CCCCAGAUGUUGCUGAACUACAACUCCCAUGAUUCCCUCGCUAUCUGUUUAAUUGAAAGAAUCAUGGGAGUUGUAGUUCAGCAACAUCUGGGG
rnacentral:miRNA from 1 species